rnacentral:rRNA from 1 species
UACGUAGGGUGCAAGCGUUAAUCGGAAUUACUGGGCGUAAAGCGUGCGCAGGCGGUUCGUUGUGUCGGCGGUGAAAGCCCCGGGCUCAACCUGGGAAUGGCCGUUGAAACUGGCGAACUGGAGUGUGGCAGAGGGGGGGUGGAAUUCCGCGUGUAGCAGUGAAAUGCGUAGAGAUGCGGAGGAACACCGAUGGCGAAGGCAGCCCCCCUGGGGCUGACACUGACGCUCAGGCACGAAAGCGUGGGGAGCAAACAGG